CUACGGGGGGCUGCAGUGGGGAAUUUUGCGCAAUGGGCGAAAGCCUGACGCAGCAACGCCGCGUGAGCGAUGAAGGUUUUCGGAUCGUAAAGCUCUGUCAGAUGGGAAGAAGAACAUGACGGUACCAUCAGAGGAAGCCCCGGCUAACUCCGUGCCAGCAGCCGCGGUAAUACGGAGGGGGCGAGCGUUGUUCGGAAUUAUUGGGCGUAAAGCGUAUGUAGGUGGUUUGACAAGUCAGACGUGUAAGCCCACGGCUCAACCGUGGAAUUGCGUUUGAAACUAUCUAACUUGAGUGCAGAAGAGGAAAGCGGAAUUUCCAGUGUAGCGGUGAAAUGCGUUGAUAUUGGGAAGAACACCUGUGGCGAAGGCGGCUUUCUGGUCUGCUACUGACACUGAGAUACGAAAGCCAGGGGAGCAAAUGGGAUUAGAUACCCUCGUAGUC
rnacentral:rRNA from 1 species